GAUGAACGCUAGCUACAGGCUUAACACAUGCAAGUCGAGGGGCAGCAUGGUCUUAGCUUGCUAAGGCCGAUGGCGACCGGCGCACGGGUGAGUAACACGUAUCCAACCUGCCGUCUACUCUUGGACAGCCUUCUGAAAGGAAGAUUAAUACAAGAUGGCAUCAUGAGUCCGCAUGUUCACAUGAUUAAAGGUAUUCCGGUAGACGAUGGGGAUGCGUUCCAUUAGAUAGUAGGCGGGGUAACGGCCCACCUAGUCUUCGAUGGAUAGGGGUUCUGAGAGGAAGGUCCCCCACAUUGGAACUGAGACACGGUCCAAACUCCUACGGGAGGCAGCAGUGAGGAAUAUUGGUCAAUGGACGAGAGUCUGAACCAGCCAAGUAGCGUGAAGGAUGAAGGUCCUACGGAUUGUAAAACUUCUUUUAUAAAGGGAAUAAAAACCUCCCACGUGUGGGAGCUUGUAUGUACCUUAUGAAUAAGCAUCGGCUAAACUCCGUGCCAG
rnacentral:rRNA from 1 species